rnacentral:piRNA from 1 species
ACAUCAAGGAUGAUGCUAGAUGUAGGGU